UACGGAGGGUGCAAGCGUUAUCCGGAUUCACUGGGUUUAAAGGGUGCGUAGGCGGGCUGCCAAGUUUGGGGUGAAAUCCUCCGGCUCAACCGGAGCAGUGCCUCGAAUACUGGCGGUCUCGAGGGAGGUAGGGGCGUGCGGAACUGUGGGUGGAGCGGUGAAAUGCGUUGAUAUCCACAGGAACUCCGGUGGCGAAGGCGGCACGCUGGACCUUUUCUGACGCUGAGGCGCGAAAGCCAGGGGAGCGAACGGG
rnacentral:rRNA from 1 species